UUCCUACGGGAGGCAGCAGUGAGGAAUAUUGGUCAAUGGACGAAAGUCUGAACCAGCCAUGCCGCGUGCAGGAAGACGGCUCUAUGAGUUGUAAACUGCUUUUGUACAAGGGUAAACCUGGAUACGUGUAUUCAGCUGAAAGUACUGUACGAAUAAGGAUCGGCUAACUCCGUGCCAGCAGCCGCGGUAAUACGGAGGAUCCAAGCGUUAUCCGGAUUUAUUGGGUUUAAAGGGUGCGUAGGCGGAUUGAUCAGUUAUAGGUGAAAUGUCCGGGCUCAACUCGGGAACUGCCUCUCAUACUGUUG
rnacentral:rRNA from 1 species